AUGGUGCCGUUGUGGAGAAACAGGUGCAGAGCCGACUGCGAAACAGUGACCAAGAAUGUUCCCCCUGAGCCAAGAGCUGAGCAGGGUUGAUCAGAGAGAGAGACAGAGACGCAGCUAUCUGGAGUGACAGCAGUCAUGUAACAGAAGCAAUUAACAUUUGGCAGUGUCCCCUGGAGUGGAACACCUCAUAAAUCUCCCGCUACGAAAGCUGAGACAACACGAGUCUCUUACUCCGUGCUGCUCCGUGGGAAAGAAAGUGGGCAUUGUUCAGCAUCCAGGCUCAGGUUGUCUAGCUCCAUGGAAAGGGGUCUUGCUGUGUGGAAGGAUCAGUGUCACCUGUUCGAAGGCAGAGGUAAAAUAUGGACCUUUGAAGUGAGAAGGGGGAGAGAGGUCAGAUGUCUUCCACUGGAGAGAGAGACUAGAUACCAGGGCUGGGGAGGUUAAUGAGACACUUACAUGAUGCAGUACUAUUCUGCAGUGAUGGCACUAGAUGCAGUUGCAUUACUGCAAGAUGCAGUGUUUGGUAGAAUGUUACUGUAGAAUGUUUACACAGGAAUAAAGGGAUGUUCUGAC